rnacentral:rRNA from 1 species
GACGAACGCUGGCGGCGUGCUUAACACAUGCAAGUCGAACGGAAAGGCCCCUUUGGGGGUACUCGAGUGGCGAACGGGUGAGUAACACGUGAGUAACCUGCCCUUGACUUCGGGAUAACUUCAGGAAACUGGGGCUAAUACCGGAUAGGAAUCCUUGCUGCAUGGUGGGGGUUGGAAAGCUUCGGCGGUUUUGGAUGGACUCGCGGCUUAUCAGCUUGUUGGUGGGGUAGUGGCUUACCAAGGCUUUGACGGGUAGCCGGCCUGAGAGGGCGACCGGCCACAUUGGGACUGAGAUACGGCCCAGACUCCUACGGGAGGCAGCAGUGGGGAAUAUUGCACAAUGGGCGGAAGCCUGAUGCAGCAACGCCGCGUGCGGGAUGACGGCCUUCGGGUUGUAAACCGCUUUCAGCAGGGGCGAAGCUUGUGGUGACGGUACCUGCAGAAGAAGCACCUGCUAACUACGUG